ACAGACAGUUAGUGGCCCCUAUAUAUGUGUCCCUAGCUAAUGUGUUGUUAUCUGGACUGGGCUGUAAAAAUCUGUGGACACUGUUGGGUCUGAGUUAGGAACAGAAUGGCUGAGUCAGGACCAUUUUUGGCAGAUGGCAAUCAGGAGUUAUUUCCCUGUGAUGUCUGUGGAAGACGCUUUGCAGCAGAUGUUCUGGAGAGGCAUGGACCAAUAUGUAAAAAACUCUUCAACAAAAAGCGUAAACCUUUCAAUUCCUUGAAGCAAAGAUUACAAGGCACUGACAUUCCUACUGUGAGGAAUGCUGCUCAGUCCGAGUCUCAACCUGUGAAGAAACCUAACUGGAGACAACAGCAUGAGGAAUUCAUUAAUGUGAUCCGAUCAGCAAAGCAGUAUUCGCUGGCCAUUAAAGAAGGCCGGCCCCUCCCACCUCUACUGCCUCCAUCCCUGAACCUAGAUUAUAUUCAGUGCCCAUAUUGUAUGAGGAAGUUUAAUGAAACCGCAUCCCAGCGACAUGUUAAUUUCUGCAAGGAUCAAUCAUCUCGCCGAGUCUUUGAUCCAGCCCAGACAGCAGCCAAACUGGCAUCCAGAGGCCAGGGUAGGGCUCAGAUGAGUCCCAAAAAAGAGCCAACUGUUACAAGUGCCGUGGGAGCUUUGCUACAGAACAGAGCCCUGGAGGCCAUGAGUGGGUUCUCAACCGAGCCAGGAUCAGCUAUGGACACUGCUUCCGGAGCAAAACCCAGACAAGGAUUUAAUAAAUCUUCUAAAAAAGAUUAACUCCUAGAGGCUAGACUGGCUCCCUGAACCUCAUCAGCCUGGAUGGUUGUAUACCCAGGAAAGCCACCUAUAGGGAAGGGACAGUAGAGGUAAAAUGGUGUGUUUUGUGCUCAGGACAAUCAGCCUACUGGCAUCCCUUCCCUUCCGACCAGGACACGACAGCUCAGCACACCUAUAACAUGGUGGUGCUGUAAGACCCAGACAAGAACCAGUACAACAAGAAUUGCAGAAAUCUGAAUUAUGCUGACGUCUCCAAAUUCACCGGCUGCAGAAAGGGUUUUUAAAGCAUGUUAGAGGGCAGAUAGCCAUGUUGUUCUACAAAGAUGUGCAGAUAUAUCUCACAGGAAUAAAUAUGAAGGGGAGCUGGCUUACAAACUUGGUAUUUAAACCAUUUUCUGUUUGGCCCACUACUAGUGAACAGGACCCCAAAAGCACUGUCCUGGGUCUUCUAUUCUUGCUUCUAAUUCCCUUUCUUUGUGGAGGAUUUUCAUCGGAUUCGAUUUCAUUUAUCAUCCGUGGGUGGAUCAAUACCAGGUUAACAACUCUGGACCUGGUAUUCCCUACCUACUUUUUCCUGACCUAUGCCUGUACUAGCUACGAGUGGGACGCAGGUGGACACAACUAGUACUUGAGCAAGACUACACACCUUUCACAUUUCACCAGCUCCCACCUCUCUGAAGUUGAGUCUUUCCCUUGCCUGGCAUCCAAUUCUUCCCCUUUUAAUUUAUCCCUUACUUACCUAGGCAACAGUCCCAAUCCAGAAACAUUAUCUAGCUAAAAUAACGUCAACAACUUGUUUCCUCUCCGCAACUUCCCUUCUUUCCUCACAACCCAUGAAACCACUAGUUUUAGUAUGUCCUCAAGUCGGUGCCAAGUACCACCAUCUUUGGAUGUCAUCUGGAGCACGUCCAUGAUCUUAUUGGAAUUCUUCAGGGGUGACUGUCCAUGUGAGACUUCCAACCAUGGCCUUCCGUCUGCCCUGACAAAUCAUCUCUUCUUGCGCUUUGCUAUUUCCACCCAACUGGCUUCAUUAUUUGCCGUGCCGGCCCGCAUUCUCUCUUCUGAUUAUUUUCUCCUUCAACCUCCGCUUAUAAAAUGGAGCUUACGUUGCAAUUGAUGGGCAAAGGGACUGGAUGCUGCACUAUCAUCUUCAUUUUUAAAGCCCAAAGCAUCCUGCCAGCUCUCACUCUUCCAUUCCUUGAUUAGAUCACUGCCUCAGGCCAGAGAGGCAGGAAACGUGGGGGCUGUGGCAGGGAAGGCCUUCUUGCACAAAGUGCACGGCGAUUCUCUUUUUGCCUCACUUCAUAAUGAACAAGUCAUUUCCCUUGCUCAGAACCGCCACCUCCGAAAUACUGCGUAAGACAUCUUCAGUGCAGUUUACCCCGGUAUAGUCAUCCCUUGGUAGACAAGGGGGAUCGGUUCCAGGACCCCUCAAACCCCUAUCUGUGCAUACUCAAGUCCUGCAGUCGGCUCUGAGGACCCCGUGUGUAAGUAAAGUCAGCCCUCCAUAGAUGCAGGUUUCAGGUUUUACACCCCAAUAAUACCGUAUCAUCCAUCUGCAUUUUGUUGGAAAAAAUUCACAUGUAAGUGAAUGCAGUUCAAACUCAUGUCGUUCAAGGGUCAACUGUAAUCCCAACUAAUUCUACUCGUUCCAAUCUGUUAGUUCCACUGUCUUUUCUAAAUGUUUCUCCUGUAUGUGUUUCCGUCUACAUCCACAGUUAGAGUCCCAUCACUGCAGCCCACUGCUCUCAACGUCUGGGUGAGGAUGCCAACUCUGUGUACACAGGAGAUGCAAAACAGGGAGCCUCUGCGACAAAAUCGGUGCACGCGGCAGGCACGCUAUACUUCUAUUUAGGACAACUACAGAGUGGUCUAUGCACAGAGGGCAUCUGAACUUUAAAAUACCUAGCAUUUGCAGGCUUAUUUUAAAAAUCAACUGAUAUUACAUUAUCUACAGCACUGAUAUUCUUAAGGACCAAGAGCAUAAUUUAAAUCAUCUUUGCAACUCUUUCAAGUACCUUCCCCUCCAAGGGUACUCCAAGAUUUAAUAAUGGGGUCUAUGUUAAUACCAUUCAGAUGGAAAGUCUUACUUGCUAAAUUCUGACACUCUUUUAUGCAUUUAU